UACGAAGGGGGCUAGCGUUGUUCGGAAUUACUGGGCGUAAAGCGCACGUAGGCUGAUAUUUAAGUCAGGGGUGAAAUCCCGGGGCUCAACCCCGGAACUGCCUUUGAUACUGGGUAUCUUGAGUAUGGAAGAGGUAAGUGGAAUUGCGAGUGUAGAGGUGAAAUUCGUAGAUAUUCGCAGGAACACCAGUGGCGAAGGCGGUGCUCUGGGCCGGAACUGACGCUGAGGAGCGAAAGCGUGGGGAGCAAACAGG
rnacentral:rRNA from 1 species